UACGGAGGGGGCUAGCGUUGUUCGGAAUUACUGGGCGUAAAGCGCACGUAGGCGGUCUGUUAAGUCGGGUGUGAAAGCCCCGGGCUCAACCCGGGAAGUGCACUCGAAACUGACAGGCUUGAGUACGGAAGAGGGUCUCGGAAUUCCCGGUGUAGAGGUGAAAUUCGUAGAUAUCGGGAGGAACACCAGUGGCGAAGGCGGAGACCUGGGCCGAUACUGACGCUGAGGUGCGAAAGCGUGGGGAGCAAACAGG
rnacentral:rRNA from 1 species